UACAGAGGGGGCAAGCGUUAUUCGGAAUUACUGGGCGUAAAGCGCACGUAGGCGGGUCGUUAAGUCGGGGGUGAAAUCCUGGAGCUCAACUCCAGAACUGCCCUCGAAACUGGCGAUCUUGAGUUCGGGAGAGGUGAGUGGAACUGCGAGUGUAGAGGUGAAAUUCGUAGAUAUUCGCAAGAACACCAGUGGCGAAGGCGGCUCACUGGCCCGAUACUGACGCUGAGGUGCGAAAGCGUGGGGAGCAAACAGG
rnacentral:rRNA from 1 species